rnacentral:lncRNA from 1 species
GGAGCAGCAACAUAUUAUUUUACAACAAUGUAAAUGAAAAUUAAUUCAAUCAAAAUGUCAUCAUUAUUGUAAAUGGGUGGAAUAAUCACAUAAACUAUCCAAGUUGCAUAUUCCAUGCUUUCAUUCAGAAGACCCAAUACCUGAUACUACGAAUAUAACUGGCUACAUUGAUGAUCCAUAAAACACCAGUAACUAAUGCCUUAACAACAACAAUAAUAAUAUAAUC